rnacentral:misc_RNA from 1 species
GACGAAGAACGCAGCGAAAUGCGAUAAGUAAUGUGAAUUGCAGAAUUCAGUGAAUCAUCGAAUCUUUGAACGCACAUUGCGCCCCCUGGUAUUCCGGGGGGCAUGCCUGUCCGAGCGUCAUUACAACCCUCAAGCUCAGCUUGGUGUUGGGCCCCGCCGCCCCGGCGGGCCCUAAAGUCAGUGGCGGUGCCGUCCGGCUCCGAGCGUAGUAAUUCUUCUCGCUCUGGAGGUCCGGUCGUGUGCUCGCCAGCAACCCCCAAUUUUUUUCAGGUUGACCUCGGAUCAGGUAGGGAUACCCGCUGAACUUAAGCAUAUCAAUAAGCGGAGGA